GCAGUUAUUGCUGUUGAUGUUAUGUAAGAGGUUGGUUGUGAAUGAUCACUCUCCUCAUUCUUCCUUCUCCACCAGUACUAGGUCCUGUGAUGGUGAAGUGGAUAACAGCAACAGCUAAAAGAGCCCAGGCUUAUGAUGUUCCAGACUCUAUGCUAAGCACUUUAACUGGUUGAUCUCAUUUCAACUCUCCCAACAAUCCUAUCAGGAAGGUACUAUUAUUAUUCCCAUUUUAUAGAUGAGGCAACUGAAGCUGAGGUUUAGAGGCUGACACAGGGUGUGUGAGUCAUAAAUGAUAGAUCUAGGGUAUGAAACUGGGCAGUCUGCCUCCAGAGCCUAUGUUAUACUGCUUGAAGAGUUUAGUUUCCCAGCUUUUAAUAUUUCUUUCUUGAACUAAAGAAGGAAAGCUGGUUGGCUUACAUAUGGAGUGUAUCCAGAAGUCAUUUAAUCUUAUGCUCUUUUCUUCUCUUUAUACAUGGUACAGAUUUGGCACUGAUACUCAUGUUUACAUGCAAAACUCUAAGAAACUCAGAUGUUCAGAUUCAGCUUCUGCGUGCAAAGAAUUUUAUGAAUGCCAAUGCUCACAAAUGGGUCCUGCAGCUAUUUCUCCUUUCCCUCCUUCUUCAUCCAUUGAAAAGAGAGCCUUGAAUACUGUAGAAACAUUUGCGUGUAAUUGUAGGAACCUAUCUCUUGUGUUGUGUCCUUCUGUGAUGUGCUGCUGCCACAACUCCUUGCACUCCAGCAGAGUGUGCAUCUGUGAGGAUCAUUUGUUUUCUGCCAUCACAUUUUUCUUCAUAACAUGCAGCAUCCAUUUACCCCAAACAAGAAUAAGGAAUUAAACAAGGUUGACCAUGUAGGUACUUAUUGAUUGCUCAUGAGUAUUAAACUUUUCUUUAACCUGUAUGAUACAAUGUGCUUUUGUCAUUGAUAAUGAUGUCAUUCCUUCUGAGUAAAUAGAAAUUCUCUGAGCUUACUUGGCCUUCAUUCAUUCUGUAUAAGAAGAUAAACUAUGAAAUGUUUCAAUAAGAUAAAUAACCCACAGCACUUUUUCCCCACAACUCUUCAAAUGUUUCCCACAACUCUUAUUUCCAAUUAAUAAAUGACUUUUCUGAGGUGUACCAUCAGAAAGAUUAUAAAAUUUAAAAACAAGUGGAAAUGGUAUGCUAUAGAGAACACAAUAAAGUUUGUAGAACAGGAUCAACA
rnacentral:lncRNA from 1 species